UUCUUUUUGUUUUGAAUGUGUUGGGCUUUUUGUAUUUUAACAAGAUUUUCGAUAGUAAUCUUCAGAUCUUUCCUUUGUGCUUUCAAAAUCGUUCCGCAGUCAACGUUUAUCUUUUAUGAUGUUUUAAUAUCCAGUUGCAACUAUACAACUAACUAUCUGUUCCUGUUUUGGCUUGGAGAGGAGUCAGAGGGGAGGAGCAAGGAGCGAGAAGGACCAGAGGACUGCCUGCUUCUCCUCCGAGGGCUCCGAUGUUUGUGUUUCCUGCUGAGUUGACGCCAAUCGAAGUAGCAGCGCUGAUCUCCAUGGAGGACGACUGUCAGGACGUAAAUGCUCGUUUUAUUAGUUCUGUUGUGAAGUGGAGGAAUUUUGUAGAGGGUUGGAAAAGGAGUUGAAGGAAGACAAUUCAGUCGGGAGAUGGUGCUCACAUCAGACAGAAGUAUAGUGGCAUGAAAUGUUAAAAAUAAAAUAUAUUUUACCGAGGUAAAAAAGUGAAAUAUGUACAGCUUAUGUCAUAUAUCAGUGCUAUAUCUGCUUAUGCAUGUUAAUGUCUGUGUAUGUGUCUCUCUCAGGAGGUAAUGAGAUCAAAGAUUUCACUGCCAGAGCCAUAGAGCUAAUUUACCUUUAUGUGUUUGUGUGCUUUGCUUUUAUUUUUAACAUUAUUGUAUAAAAUAAACAUAUAUCUGCCUUCAGA